rnacentral:tRNA from 13 species
GGGAGCGUAGCUCAGUUGGUAGAGCAGCGGACUCUUAAUCCGUCGGUCCAGAGUUCGAGUCUCUGCGCUCCCACCA